AAUCCAUAGGUUAAUGAGGCGAACCGGGGGAACUGAAACAUCUAAGUACCCCGAGGAAAAGAAAUCAACCGAGAUUCCCCCAGUAGCGGCGAGCGAACGGGGAGGAGCCCAGAGCCUGAAUCAGCAUGUGUGUUAGUGGAAGCGUCUGGAAAGGCGCGCGAUACAGGGUGACAGCCCCGUACACAAAAGCGCAUGUGUUGUGAGCUCGAUGAGUAGGGCGGGACACGUGGUAUCCUGUCUGAAUAUGGGGGGACCAUCCUCCAAGGCUAAAUACUCCUGACUGACCGAUAGUGAACCAGUACCGUGAGGGAAAGGCGAAAAGAACCCCGGCGAGGGGAGUGAAAAAGAACCUGAAACCGUGUACGUACAAGCAGUGGGAGCACAGGUUUACCUGUGUGACUGCGUACCUUUUGUAUAAUGGGUCAGCGACUUAUAUUCUGUAGCAAGGUUAACCGUAUAGGGGAGCCGGAGGGAAACC
rnacentral:rRNA from 1 species